rnacentral:tRNA from 1 species
GGCGAGAUAGCUCAGUUGGUAGAGCAGAGGACUGAAAAUCCUUGUGUCCCCGGUUCGAACCCGGGUCUCGCCACCA